UUAGUGGCGAACGGGUGAGUAACACGUGAGAAACCUACCCCGGAGUGGGGAAUAACCCGAGGAAACUCGGACUAAUACCGCAUACCUUCCGAUGGUCGCAUGGCCGACGGAAGAAAGAAUUUCGCUCUGGGGGGGUCUCGCGGCCUAUCAGCUUGUUGGCGGGGUAACGGCCCACCAAGGCAACGACGGGUAGCUGGUUUGAGAGAACGAUCAGCCACACUGGAACUGAGACACGGUCCAGACUUCUACGGAAGGCAGCAGUAGGGAAUCUUGCGCAAUGGGGGAAACCCUGACGCAGCGACGCCGCGUGCGGGAUGACGGCCCUAGUGGUUGUAAACCGCUUUCAGCAGGGACGAAAAUGACGGUACCUGCAGAAGAAGUCCCGGCUAACUACGUGCCAGCAGCCGCGGUAAUACGUAGGGGACAAGCGUUGUCCGGAUUCAUUGGGCGUAAAGAGCUCGUAGGCGGUUCAGUAAGUUGGGUGUGAAAGCUCCGGGCUCAACCCGGAGAGCCACUCAAUACUGCUGUGACUAGAGUCCAG
rnacentral:rRNA from 1 species